CGAGCCUCGGCCGGGCCGCGCUCCGCGCUGAGAGCCGCUGGGGGCUGCUGCCCCGCCUGCUCCUGCACAGCCAUGGGCCGCGGGCAGCAGGGCCUGCAGCCUUCCAGCCCGGCUUCAGAGGCAGGAGCUGAGGGAAUGGACCUGCCUUGGUCCUGACCUGUGGCUGCAGUGCCAGGGCUGGGGUGUGGUGAGGAUGAGGAUGAGGAUGAGGAUGGCAGCACGGGCGAGGCCCCACCUCAGGAGAUGCCUCAGCGAGCACCCCGGGGGCUCCACCAGCUGGGCCUGGGAUGGCUUCUGGAGAACAGCCAGGGAAAAACGCCUUGCAGAAAUUGAAGCCAGAGAAGCCUGCGACUGGCUGAGAGCUGCUGGAUUUCCCCAGUAUGCUCAGCUGUUUGAAGAUAUGCAGUUUCCCAUUGAUGUAAAAACUGUGAGGAGAGAUCAUGAAUUUUUAGAUGGAGAUGCGAUUGAAUCACUGUUCAGAAGGUUGAACACAUUGAACAAGUAUGCAUCAAUGAAAGUGGAAAUAAGCCGUGAUAGGAAACGGAGUGACGACUCAGAAGAUGAUGAGCCUUGUGCAAUAAGUGACAGAUGGGCUUAUGAGAGGUGCAGCCAGCGGUGGUCUCGCAUUGAGAGCCUGGCAGGAUUCCCAGCAGAGGAAGGGGCUGGUGCUCCCACCCCAGGCAGCCCAGUGUUGAAGAUCAUCAACAACAAGGAUAAUUUCUUUCUGGAUCAUGGUGAGAAGCACGAUGUGUCCUCAAUUCACAGCACCAGCAGUGCUGACAGUGACAUUGUUAACUCCCAAAAACCUUUUGAAGAUGUGGAAACGAGCACGAGCUCCUCAAGAUGUUCCUCAGUUAAGGUACCUUCACUGGACUCUGCUUUUAGUUGUUCUCCUCCCCCCAGUGAAUUUUUAAAUAUCACCAGUGAGGAGAAGCUUUUGGAUAAGUCACCAUCAAAAAAGAGGAAGAGCCUUCUAAAGAAAAUGGAGAAGCUGCACUUAAGGAGCUGCAAUUUAAGGAGUGGUCAGUCAAAGGCCAGACCCAUAAUAAGUGAACCUGUUCUUCUGGAAGGACUUAAUGAAGAAAAGAUGAAGAUGCUGAACUGUGUAAAUAUUUCUGACCUCUCUGGCAUCCGAACAAAGAACAAUUCCUCCUUUUCUCCCCAGAGCUGCAAUAGCAGCAAUCAGUCUGUAAACAGCAGCACAGGGAGCACUCCUAGCCCUGUUAUAAAACCAGGCAGCUCCUGUGAAGGAAGGGAGACGUAUGCAGAGCACAUGGACACCAGCAAGCUGUUGCUGGGGAAUGAUCGAUCCCAGCAAAACCUAAAAAAUGACAUGACUGUACAAAAGAGCCUGAUGUUUCAAAUACCACAAGGCCAUAAACCUGGCACCUUCCCCACAGUACUUACAGACAGCUCUCUGUCUCCAGCAGACAACUCUUCCGUCAACUGGAGAACUGGGAGCUUCCACGGGUGCAGGAGGAGCCGGAGCAGGAGCGGUUCCAGGGACCCCAGAGGCGCCAGGAGCCCCGUGCUGGGCAGGGAUCACAGGCUGAGUGUGUAUGACAACAUGCCCAGCCCCGAGCUGCAGGGUCUGGAGGCCGCGCAAGUCGGCGACGACGACAUUUUCUCAGAGCUGAACAGCGUCAUAGCAGAUGUCAAUGGUCUCAAGAAGCUGGUUGAUCAGUGGACAGAGAAGUUAUCAGAUGAUGGGGAUUCUGACUUUACCAGUGACUUGACCUCUUUGUAUCCACCCUCCCCUAAAGAAAGCUCUGUAGAAACAGAGGGCUCAGAAGAUAAGACAGCAGGGGAGGCUGAGGGAGAGAGCAGCUGUGGCCUGGGCAAGGAGAUUGGUUCUGCAGACCUGACAUACAUCACAGACUCUAAAAAGACCAACAGGCACGGGAAGCAGCACUGGUCUGUGGAAGAGAACCUGGAAAGCCUUUCCCUCCAGAAUGAUGGCCAGUCAGCUGCCCAGCUGGCCCGCACACAAAAGCUGGCACUGUUGAAACUCACAGCUUUAAUGGACAGAUAUUCCCCUUGCAGUAAGCAGGGCUGGAACUGGUGUGUGGCAGAAUUUGGGGUUGUGACAAGGUGGAGCUCAGCCCUUUCUGAUGAGUGUAAAGGAGCAGGUGCAAUGUGCUGGACACCUAGUAAGCUGCAUCUACAUGGUUUUGUUUCCAGGACCAUUCCAAAGUUCAUUAAAAAGCCAAAAGCUUCAGACUACAAGGACAAAAAUGUGUUUGGGGUUCCUUUACUUCUGAAUGUGCAGCGAACAAGCCACCCCCUGCCCAAUGGCAUCCUGCAAGCCCUGGAGUAUCUGAGAAGCCACUUUCUUGACCAGGUUGGCCUGUUCCGAAAAUCCGGUGUUAAAUCCAGGAUCCUGUCUUUAAGAGAAAUGAAUGAAACCAACCCAAACAAUGUCUGUUAUGAAGGGCAGUCAGCAUUUGACGUGGCAGAUAUGGUGAAGCAGUAUUUCCGUGACCUUCCUGAGCCUAUAUUUACCAGCAGGCUCUGUGAAUCCUUCCUCCACAUCUACCAGUACGUGCCGAAGGACGAGCAGUUUCAGGCUGUCCAGGCUGCUAUUCUCCUUCUCCCCAAGGAAAACCGAGAAGCUUUGAAAAUCCUCCUGUUCUUCCUGCGCGAUGUGGUGGCUUUUGUUGAGGAAAACCAGAUGACCCCAACCAACAUUGCUGUCUGUCUGGCACCUUCUUUGUUUCACCUCAACACCCUGAGGCGGGACAGUUCCUCCUCCUCAACCAGAUCCAGUCAGAGGAAGUGCAGCUUGGGGAAGCCAGACCAGAGGGAGCUGAACGAGAACCUGGCAGCAACGCAGGGCUUGGCCCACAUGAUAAUGGAGUGCAACAGGCUCUUCCAGACUGACUUCCCAGCUUGACCGCGGCCUUUGCCCAUCAUUAUGGACUUGCCUAGUGAUCCUUAGACUGUGGCUAACCUGGUUGCUGUCCCUGGACCUGAUCCUGACCUCCCUUCCUGGCUGACUCACCUUCCUGGCUCCACCUCGGACCUCAUCGCCGUGGAUGUGUCUGAUGAUCUUUACUCUUGGCUGACCCUGGCUGCCACCUCUGGCUCAGCUCCGGCGGUGUGGGACAGGGCAGCUGCCCUGCCAGCCCUGUUGUCCCACCUGACCCCUGGCCCCUUUCCCUCAGGGGUGCUGUCCACACUCCAGCAGUCAGCUCAGACCUUCUAAUCCUCUGCUCCAGCUGCUCGUCUGGGCAGGGGACACUGCCCCUUGGCUCCCCUGCACUGACACAUGGCCCUGCCCCAGGGCUGCCCCAGCACUGAUUCCACAACCAGUGCCUGGCUUGAGUGACAUCCCACCCCAGGACAGCUGAGAUUCCCAGGGGUCUGAUCCCUGCAUGGCAUCAGUCUCCAGCCCAGACAGGCCUCCUAAGUGCCCCUCUCCACCCCCAGCCUAACCAUGGGCCCUUGUUUCCCCCACAGUGGCCUGAACCCUUGUGCCCAGAUCUGAGGCCCUUGGGGUGCCCUGACACCACGGCCUGCCCCGUACCCUCUGGUCAGCCCUGGCAGCACAGAGCUGGCCCUGUUCCUGGCUGCAUGGGCCCGUGGAAUAGCCCCAUGGAACUCUGAGCUACCCUUGCACACAUGGACACUCCACACACCCCUGCUAUGACCAUUGCUGACUCCAGCCCUGAGCUGUGGGGCUGCCCCUCACCCCGGGGUGCUGCUGGUGUCACCCCCUCCCUGCCAGGGUAGGCACUGGGUGCUGAGACUGAGGGAUUGCCUGGAGAGGGCUGUCCCCCUUCUGCUGGAGGCCACAGCUCAGCGUGGCAGCCUGUGCCAUGCCCGUGCCUGGAGGAACACCUGGGUCUGCUGCUCUGGACCCAGAGCUGGACUGGUCACUGUGGCCACCACUGGACUGCGGCUGACGCUGCUUCUGCCACUGAAGUGGCCCCGCGAGCAGGACCCGGCUCGUCGCCGCUGCCACCCCGGCGUGGCCCCAGGUAAAACUGCUGCCUGCCUCCCCGCACCAUCACAGAUGACAUCAAAGGCUGGGUGGCCUGCUCAUACCUGGCACCUAAGGGAACCGCUACAUCCUCUGCACAGGCUUAAUCCCCAGGAUGUCGAAUCCU